rnacentral:misc_RNA from 1 species
GUAGGUGAACCUGCGGAAGGAUCAUUAAAGAAUGCCCCGUUUUUUGAAAUGGGUUCUAUUCCCAAACCGUGUCUACAUACCUUUGUUGCUUUGGCAGGCCGCCUUCGGGCGUCGGCUUACGCUGACUGCGCCUGCCAGAGGACCCAAACUCGUUUGUUUAGUGAUGUCUGAGUACUAUAUAAUAGUUAAAACUUUCAACAACGGAUCUCUUGGUUCUG